rnacentral:snRNA from 1 species
GUAUGUGAGGGCGAUCUGACUGCAUCAUCUGUCACCCCACUGAUUGCCAGAGUUGAUUCAGCUGAUCUGGCUGGCUAGGCAGGGUCCCCUCCUCCCUCACCCCUCCACUCGGUAGAAGAGGACGACCUUCCCCAACAGGGGAGAGGACAGUUCUUCUAUCAAGGGUAUAUGAGGAGCUGCGCUCCCCUGCUGUAACCUCCAAACUCUCUAGUAAAUAAUUUUACUAAAUGUGUUGCAAAUGCACAGAAGAGCCCACAAGAUAUGAGGUCCCUUCUGAAUAAAUAGGUUGUAAAAGUUCA